rnacentral:rRNA from 1 species
AUUGAACGCUGGCGGCAUGCUUUACACAUGCAAGUCGAACGGUAACAGGCCGCAAGGUGCUGACGAGUGGCGAACGGGUGAGUAAUGCAUCGGAACGUGCCCAGUCGUGGGGGAUAACGCAGCGAAAGCUGUGCUAAUACCGCAUACGAUCUGUGGAUGAAAGCGGGGGACCUUCGGGCCUCGCGCGAUUGGAGCGGCCGAUGUCAGAUUAGGUAGUUGGUGGGGUAAAGGCUCACCAAGCCAACGAUCUGUAGCUGGUCUGAGAGGACGACCAGCCACACUGGGACUGAGACACGGCCCAGACUCCUACGGGAGGCAGCAGUGGGGAAUUUUGGACAAUGGGCGCAAGCCUGAUCCAGCAAUGUCGCGUGCAGGAAGAAGGCCUUCGGGUUGUAAACUGCUUUUGUACGGAGCGAAAAGGCUCCCUCUAAUACAGGGGGCUCAUGACGGUACCGUAAGAAUAAGCACCGGCUAACUACGUGCCAGCAGCCGCCGUAACAC